rnacentral:sRNA from 1 species
UCACAGCUUUCGUUCCGUCCAGCCC